rnacentral:misc_RNA from 1 species
GUGAAUCAUCGAAUCUUUGAACGCAUAUUGCACUAUCUGGUAUUCCGGAGAGUAUGCCUAUUUGAGGGUCAUUUGAAAUAAUAUAAAUUUCGAGUUUUUCUUGAAAUCAUAACUGGGUCGGUCUAGCUGUCGUUUGGUGGUCGUAUAAAAUGUAAGAUAAGCUCAUUUCUUGGGUUGAGUGAUAUUAAUAGUUAUCUCGUGACUUCAGAAGAAAU